rnacentral:lncRNA from 1 species
CUAGAGGAUGGCAAUAAUGAUGAGGGACAAGGAGAGGCUCAAGGAUGGAGUGGACUUUCGGGGGAUAAGAGGCAAAGUGGUGUAGUUCAUAUAGCAGUUGAGGAAGCCAAGGUGAUCAGAGUAGGUAGAGAUAGUGAGGUUAAUAUAGUAGUAGAGACAGAGCUUUGGUAGGGUGGCAACAGAGAGGCAAUAAAGAAGAAGUGGAGGUGGGUGACAGUGACAUAGAUGAUGUGGAGUUGUUGGAGGAGGUGGAUGGGAUGUUGGUGUCGAUGCCCCCGUCUUAGGGUCUAGAAGGGAGGAGGGA